UUUUUCCCCCUUCUUCAACGGAGAAGAUAUUCCUCAAAGAAGCCUACUAGAAACAUCAUACAACAAAAUAUCCCCUAACCUUGCAGGGGAAGCAACCUCCAACAAUAAGGAGGUCACACACAUAUCAGCCUGCUGCAGUGUCAGUAGAUCUUUUAACAGCCUUCAAAUCAAAGACCCCAAAACUAUUGCACCACUAAUGAGAUCAAAUUGGAUCAUCAUAACCUUGCUUUCAAAUUUCACUGAUCAAAUAACAUCUGCCCUUUCAUUGUUCACUGACAUAAAUUAUGAUAAAGUUUAUGUAUUUUUUUUUUAAAUAAUUUUCAUCCCUAUUUUCCAUUUAAAUAAAACCAUUCUGUUUCUACUUGUAGACUUUCAAUCUCCAGUAAUCAAAUCAAUAACCAUAAACAUUGCAUUCAAAGGAAAAAAAAUGAAAAUAAAUGAGCCUGGAAUUCAUUAUUUUUCAAAUUAUUCGAAUCAGAAAAUCUUAAUUCCCAUCAUUCUUCUUUUGGCAUCUAACUAUCAUGAAUCUAGCAAUCCAAAUUGUGACUUCAUAUUCUCAAUAACCCACCCAUGAACAAGAAUUAUAAGCCAAAACCAGAAAUUCUGCAAUUCAAAAUUCUAAAUCAAAUAUGGUACAGAAAAAAAGAGUUCGAAAUUUUAUCAAGAACUUACAAUAUCUACCAAACCCUAGAUUCAUUAGUCCAACCAAAUCCCCACAGCGGCCUAUCCUCAAGCAGAGUCCCCGAACCCAACCGAACCCGUGUCCUACAAACGGGGCACGCAGAGACCUUAACCAGCCACGCAUCCACACACUUCCUAUGGAACACAUGCCCACAUCCGAUAAGUUUUCUGCACCAUUGACCUUGCCUUAUCCCUUCCAAACAAACCACACAAUCGGCUUCGGCUUCAGGAUUCGAUCUCCUAGAAAAUUUGAAUUGUGGGAGCUUCUUUAGGUCUUUGAUAGACAACCCAUCUGCAGAAUUGGAAGGCCCAGAGUGACGGUGGAGAGCGGCGGUGGCGAGAAGGAGAAGGAUGGCUGCGACUCCAAGGAACAAAAAGAAAAGGGCGGUUAUGGCAGUCAUUAUAAUAACUUUGAGGAUCAUGGAAAGGACUUCUUGAUUUGGUUUUGGAGGUAGAUGUUGCGGCGGAGCACCACCGUGUGGGCGGUGGUGAUGGCGGAGGUCAUGGGGAGGCAUACGGGAUCAAAUUCAGAGAUGGCAGUGGAAGAGGAAUUUUGACAAAGGUUUGGUAUUAAGAGAGCUUUU
rnacentral:misc_RNA from 1 species